UACAGAGGUCUCAAGCGUUGUUCGGAUUCAUUGGGCGUAAAGGGUGCGUAGGCGGCGCGGUAAGUCGGGUGUGAAAUCUCGGAGCUUAACUCCGAAACUGCAUUCGAUACUGCCGUGCUUGAGGACUGGAGAGGAGACUGGAAUUUACGGUGUAGCGGUGAAAUGCGUAGAUAUCGUAAGGAAGACCAGUGGCGAAGGCGGGUCUCUGGACAGUUCCUGACGUGAGGCACGAAGGCCAGGGAGCAAACGGG
rnacentral:rRNA from 1 species